CACGUGGGAACGUGCCUUUUGGUUCGGAAUAACCCGGGGAAACUCGGACUAAUACCGGAUAAGCCCUUACGGGGAAAGAUUUAUCGCCAAAAGAUCGGCCCGCGUCUGAUUAGCUAGUUGGUGAGGUAACGGCUCACCAAGGCGACGAUCAGUAGCUGGUCUGAGAGGAUGAUCAGCCACACUGGGACUGAGACACGGCCCAG
rnacentral:rRNA from 1 species